rnacentral:rRNA from 1 species
UCGCUAGUAAUCGCGGAUCAGCAUGCCGCGGUGAAUACGUUCCCGGGCCUUGUACACACCGCCCGUCACACCAUGAGAGUCGGGAACACCCGAAGUCCGUAGCCUAACUUUAACGAGGGGCGCGGCCGAAGGUGGGUUCGAUAAUUGGGGUGAAGUCGUAACAAGGUACC